GCCCUUAGAGUUUGAUCCUGGCUCAGAUUGAACGCUAGCGGGAUGCUUUACACAUGCAAGUCGAACGGCAGCGCGAGAGAGCUUGCUCUCUUGGCGGCGAGUGGCGGACGGGUGAGUAAUAUAUCGGAACGUGCCCAGUAGCGGGGGAUAACUACUCGAAAGAGUGGCUAAUACCGCAUACGCCCUACGGGGGAAAGGGGGGGAUCGCAAGACCUCUCACUAUUGGAGCGGCCGAUAUCGGAUUAGCUAGUUGGUGGGGUAAAGGCUCACCAAGGCAACGAUCCGUAGCUGGUUUGAGAGGACGACCAGCCACACUGGGACUGAGACACGGCCCAGACUCCUACGGGAGGCAGCAGUGGGGAAUUUUGGACAAUGGGGGAAACCCUGAUCCAGCCAUCCCGCGUGUAUGAUGAAGGCCUUCGGGUUGUAAAGUACUUUUGGCAGAGAAGAAAAGGUACCUCCUAAUACGAGGUACUGCUGACGGUAUCUGCAGAAUAAGCACCGGCUAACUACGUGCCAGCAGCCGCGGUAAUACGUAGGGUGCAAGCGUUAAUCGGAAUUACUGGGCGUAAAGCGUGUGUAGGCGGUUCGGAAAGAAAGAUGUGAAAUCCCAGGGCUCAACCUUGGAACUGCAUUUUUAACUGCCGAGCUAGAGUAUGUCAGAGGGGGGUAGAAUUCCACGUGUAGCAGUGAAAUGCGUAGAUAUGUGGAGGAAUACCGAUGGCGAAGGCAGCCCCCUGGGAUAAUACUGACGCUCAGACACGAAAGCGUGGGGAGCAAACAGGAUUAGAUACCCUGGUAGUCCACGCCCUAAACGAUGUCAACUAGCUGUUGGGGCCGUUAGGCCUUAGUAGCGCAGCUAACGCGUGAAGUUGACCGCCUGGGGAGUACGGUCGCAAGAUUAAAACUCAAAGGAAUUGACGGGGACCCGCACAAGCGGUGGAUGAUGUGGAUUAAUUCGAUGCAACGCGAAAAACCUUACCUACCCUUGACAUGUCUGGAAAGCCGAAGAGAUUUGGCCGUGCUCGCAAGAGAACCGGAACACAGGUGCUGCAUGGCUGUCGUCAGCUCGUGUCGUGAGAUGUUGGGUUAAGUCCCGCAACGAGCGCAACCCUUGUCAUUAGUUGCUACGCAAGAGCACUCUAAUGAGACUGCCGGUGACAAACCGGAGGAAGGUGGGGAUGACGUCAAGUCCUCAUGGCCCUUAUGGGUAGGGCUUCACACGUCAUACAAUGGUCGGGACAGAGGGUCGCCAACCCGCGAGGGGGAGCCAAUCUCAGAAACCCGAUCGUAGUCCGGAUCGCAGUCUGCAACUCGACUGCGUGAAGUCGGAAUCGCUAGUAAUCGCGGAUCAGAAUGUCGCGGUGAAUACGUUCCCGGGUCUUGUACACACCGCCCGUCACACCAUGGGAGUGGGUUUCACCAGAAGUAGGUAGCCUAACCGUAAGGAGGGCGCUUACCACGGUGGGAUUCAUGACUGGGGUGAAGUCGUAACAAGGUAGCCAAGGGC
rnacentral:rRNA from 1 species